rnacentral:rRNA from 1 species
ACUCCUACGGGAGGCAGCAGUGGGGAAUAUUGCACAAUGGGGGAAACCCUGAUGCAGCCAUGCCGCGUGUGUGAAGAAGGCCUUCGGUUGUAAGACACUUCAGUAGGGAGGAAGGUAGUGUAGUUAACACCUGCAUUAUUUGUACGUUACCUACAGAAGAAGCACCGGCUAACUCCGUGCCAGCAGCCGCGGUAAUACGGAGGGGUGCGAGCGUUAAUCGGAAUUACUGGGCGUAAAGCGCAUGCAGGCGGCCUGUUAAGUCAGAUGUGAAAGCCCGGGGGCUUAACCUCGGAAUUGCAUUUGAAACUGGCAGGCUAGAGUCUUGUAGAGGGGGUAGGAAUUUCAGGUGUAGCGGUGAAAUGCGUAGAGAUCUGAAGGAAUACCAGU